GACGAACCGUGCGAACGUUAUUCGGAAUCAUUGGGCUUAAAGCGCGUGUAGGCGGAUUCGUGCGUCUGUCGUUGAAAUCCCCCGGCUCAACCGGGGAAGUGGCGCGGAUACGACGAGUCUGGAGGGGCAUAGGGGGACCUGGAACUUCCGGUGGAGCGGUGAAAUGCGUUGAGAUCGGAAGGAACGCCCGUGGCGAAAGCGAGGUCCUGGAUGCCUACUGACGCUGAGGCGCGAAAGCCAGGGGAGCGAACGGG
rnacentral:rRNA from 1 species